AUAAUCCCCUCUCCAUGACCCUAAACAAAACAAAUGGCGCCAAAAGCCUACAGUCACUUGCUUCUCCUAUUCUCACAGACUCACCAUCCCUGCCAACAGCCACCGCCGCUGGCCAUUGUGACUCUCGCUACUGUAGGUCACCAUCGCGGCCCCCCCCCCCCCCCCUGUCAUCCACAUUCAGGUUUUUCUUUCUCUCUAUCCCUCUCUCUCCCUUCCCUCACCAUCGUGGAUCUAGGGUUUGAUUUUAUUUUUGUUGUAGGAUUUUGAUAAAAUCAUUUUAGGGUCUUACUCUUUUUCUACAUUUGAAGCAUAUAUGUCCUUAUCUAUCUACCCACUGCCCGUGUGGUUGUUGGAGAUAUUGACCCAAGGGCAGACCACCUGUGUGUAUACAAUAAUAUACAUAUGCGUUUUAGUUUCUCUACCAAAAUUCUCGAUUCGCAGAAAGUUUCAGAGUAGAGCUUCAAAUCCAGCUAAAGAGAGUCCCUCUCCUUCUAAAGUGAAGAAGUGGGCUAUUGACGAUUUGAGUAAAACCAUCUCAUGGCUGGAGAGCUAAGACGAAAAGGAUGUGGAUAAGUGGUCGUGAGUCAGCUGUCAACCCACUACAAUUUUGAAGAGAUUUUAAAGGGUUUUGGGCCGGAGUACAACAUUUCUGGACUCACGUAAGUUCGUAGAUUUUCAAGAUAGACUUACAAAUCCACUUCCAGAUAGAAGAACAAAACUGCUGAUAAUUUAAAAUACUAAUAAGCGCAUCCAGUAUGACAAUUUUUGGAAAAAAGAAUCUUGCUUUAUCUGUUAAGACUAAGCUGCCAGCUAAAAUGCAUUUAUUUAAAUUUGAAUGGAGGAGAAAAUCAUUAUAACUACACUCCAUGCCAAAAAUAGGAGUAUAGGACCUUGGAGAAAGGGGAAUGUAGACAAACAGAUUUAAGAGACCAAAAAGUUUCAUGCAUCUUUCCAUCUAUGUCCCCUAUUCUACUGGCUUUCAAUAUUGAUGCUUUAUUUUAGUGGGGGCAAAAUACUCUAGUCAAGUAUAUGCUUUAUUUGACAAUACACCCAUUCACAAAUUCACAACCAUUAUAACCCUCCACAUAUCAUAUUGUAAUUGCUUAACUCUAUGAGUAUGCUCCUCAUAUUUUACAAUCUAUAAACUUGAAGAUUGAAGUCAGGUUCAGACAUGAGUAAAUCUAAAUAGUACCAAUACAAAAACAUGUCCCCUGACAGAAAUAAUAAUGCUAAACAUCUUCCAAGUAUGGAGAAUUGGCUUAGUGACUAUUAGAUGUGGUUGGGAUGGAACUGGACUUGUGGGGACAUACGGCAUGUAAUUAGCACAUGUAGGUUGGGAGUUAGAGUCGAAAAUGCUUUAAACUUAGUCAAAAAAAUGCAUUCAGAGGGCAAAAAUGCAAAAAAGACCCCGAACCACUCUAUCGUUGUCAUGGGCAGCUUCCUCUUGACAAAUAGGACCUGUUGGGACAGACGGGAUGUAAUUGGCACACAUAGGUUGGGAGUUAGAGUCGACAACAUCUUAAAUUUAGUCGAAAAAGGGCAUUCAAUGGGUGAAAAUGCAAAACCACCCCCGAACCACUCUAUCGUUGUCAUGGGCAGCUUCCUCGUGACAAAUAGGACCUGUUAGGAUAGACGGGAUAUAAUUGGCAUACAUAGGUUGAGAGUUAGAGUAAAAAACGCCUUAAACUUUGGCGAAAAAAGGGCGUUUGGGGGGCAAAAAUGCAAAACAACCCUUGUACCACUCUAUGGAUGUCACGGGCAACUUCUUCGUGACAAAUAGGACUUGUCAGGACAUACGGAUGUAAUUAACACACGUAGAUUGAGAGUUAGAAUAAAAAACGCCUUUUACUUUGGCGAAAAAGGGCAUUCGAGAGGCGAAAAUGCAAAACAACCCUUGUACCACUCUAUGGAUGUCACGGUGUAGACACUCCAUUUUUGACCAACCUUAAGACUCAGACGUCACCAGUUGAGCACU